rnacentral:rRNA from 1 species
AACGAACGCUGGCGGCAGGCCUAACACAUGCAAGUCGAACGCCCUAGCAAUAGAGAGUGGCAGACGGGUGAGUAACGCGUGGGAACCUUCCCAAUGGUACGGAAUAGCCCAGGGAAACUUGGAGUAAUACCGUAUAAGCCCCUAGGGGGAAAGAUUUAUCGCCAUUGGAUGGGCCCGCGUCGGAUUAGCUAGUUGGUAGGGUAAUGGCCUACCAAGGCAACGAUCCGUAGCUGGUUUGAGAGAAUGACCAGCCACACUGGGACUGAGACACGGCCCAGACUCCUACGGGAGGCAGCAGUGGGGAAUCUUGGACAAUGGGCGAAAGCCUGAUCCAGCCAUGCCGCGUGAGUGACGAAGGCCUUAGGGUUGUAAAGCUCUUUUGCCGGGGACGAUAAUGACGGUACCCGGAGAAUAAGUCCCGGCUAACUUCGUGCCAGCAGCCGCAGUAAGAC